UAAUUGUGUAUAUACACUACAACAGAAUUAGGUUAUAGGGACAUAUGUUUAGGACACUUUUGUGUAAGUAUCCCAUUUAUGUCAAAACUUUAAAAAAAAAUUAUUAAUGUCUAAAUAUAAAGUCUAAUCCAACCAAAAAUAAAAGAUUACUCUACUCAACUCACCCCACCCAACUUAUUCGGCCCGAUUACAAACAUAAAUGAAAAAGAAAAAAAAAAUCGAUUACUAUUUUCCCUUCUCCCCUCACUCAAUCGACUGAAAUACUAGAUGAAGAUUCCUUCCUCUCGUCCUCCUCUGCCACCGCAGCCAACGAGGUAGAGUUCCGGCGGUUGCUAAAUGCUUAAAUAAAUAUUGGUAAAUUAACAGCACUCUUUUAAGGUUAUAGCGACACUCUUUAACCGUCACUAUAUACCUAGCGACCCCACAUAUAGCAAUACUUUUUAAAAGUGUCGGUAAUUUAGCCAGCAGCACUUUUUUUUAUAUGUACCGAUAUUUAAAAGUGUCGCUAUAGACCGUUUUUGUUAUAGUGAUAUAUUUUUGGAUAAACUUUAAAUAUCACUCAUGUGGUUUCGCAUUUUUUAACUUUAGUACCAUGUUGUUAAAGUGUAUCAAUUUAGUACCCUAUAGUUUUAUUUUCUUUUUUUUUCGUCAGUCCCUUCGUUAACUUUUUGUUAAAUCAUAUACAAAAAACUUUAUAUUUUCUAUCUAUAGUUUAUUGAAUAUUCACUUUAGUAUCUUUUAGUUUUUAAUUUUGUUACCAAUUUAACGAAAAAAAUUAGUAGAGGAAAUAAUAAUAAAAAAAAAAUCACAGGGUACAAAAGUGAUGCACUUUAAACCACAAGGUAUUAAAGUAAUACAGUACUUUAUAAAUCACAAACGCACAAAAUAAUGCAUUAAUUUAC
rnacentral:lncRNA from 1 species